rnacentral:rRNA from 1 species
AUACGGAGGAUCCGAGCGUUAUCCGGAUUUAUUGGGUUUAAAGGGUGCGCAGGCGGCCAGUUAAGUCAGCGGUUAAAUCGUGGGGCUCAACCCCAUUCUGCCGUUGAUACUGGGUGGCUUGAUUGCGGUCGAGGUUGGCGGAAUUCGUUGUGUAGCGGUGAAAUGCAUAGAUAUGACGAAGAACACCGAUUGCGUAGGCAGCUGACCAGACCGCAAAUGACGCUCAUGCACGAAAGUGCGGGGAUCGAACAGGAGUAGAUACCCUGGUAGUCCGCACAGUAAACGAUGAAUACUUGUUUUCGGCGAUAUAAUGUCGGAGGCAAAGCGAAAGCGAUAAGUAUUCCACCUGGGGAGUACGCCGGCAACGGUGAAACUCAAAUGAAUUGACGGGG